rnacentral:rRNA from 1 species
GGUCUGGGACAACCACUGGAAACGGUGGCUAAUACCGGGUGUGCCGAAAGGUGAAAGGUUAACUGCCUGGAGAUGAGCUCGCGUCUGAUUAGCUAGUUGGUAGGGUAAAAGCUUACCAAGGCGACGAUCAGUAGCUGGUCUGAGAGGACGAUCAGCCACACUGGGACUGAGACACGGCCCAGACUCCUACGGGAGGCAGCAGUGGGGAAUUUUCCGCAAUGGGCGAAAGCCUGACGGAGCAAUACCGCGUGAGGGAGGAAGGCUCUUGGGUUGUAAACCUCUUUUCUCAGGGAAGAAAAAUGACGGUACUUGAGGAAUAAGCAUCGGCUAACUCCGUGCCAGCAGCCGCGGUAAUACGGAGGAUGCAAGCGUUAUCCGGAAUGAUUGGGCGUAAAGCGUUCGCAGGUGGCAUUGAAAGUCUGCUGUUAAAGAGUCUGGCUCAACCAGAUACAGGCHGUGGAAACUACAAAGCWAGAGUGCGGUAGGGGCAGAGGGAAUUCCUGGUGUAGCGGUGAAAUGCGUAGAGUUCAGGAAGAACACCGGUGGCGAAAGCGCUCUGCUAGGCCGCAACUGACACUGAGGGACGAAAGCUAGGGGAGCGAAAGGGAUUAGAUACCCC